rnacentral:rRNA from 1 species
AGAGUUUGAUCCUGGCUCAGGAUGAACGCUGGCGGUCUGCUUAACACAUGCAAGUCGAACGCAAGUAGCAAUACUUGAGUGGCGGACGGGUGAGUAACGCGUGAGAAUCUGCCUUUUGGUCGGGGACAACCAUUGGAAACGAUGGCUAAUACCCGAUGUGCCUAUGGGUGAAAGAUUUAUUGCCAGAAGAGGAGCUCGCGUCUGAUUAGCUAGUUGGUAGGGUAAAAGCCUACCAAGGCAUCGAUCAGUAGCUGGUCUGAGAGGAUGACCAGCCACACUGGGACUGAGACACGGCCCAGACUCCUACGGGAGGCAGCAGUGGGGAAUUUUCCGCAAUGGGCGAAAGCCUGACGGAGCAAGACCGCGUGAGGGAGGAAGGCUCUUGGGUCGUAAACCUCUUUUGUCAGGGAAGAACACAAUGACGGUACCUGACGAAUCAGCCUCGGCUAACUCCGUGCCAGCAGCCGCGGUAAUACGGAGGAGGCAAGCGUUAUCCGGAAUUAUUGGGCGUAAAGCGUCCGCAGGUGGCACCUCAAGUCUGCUGUCAAAGACCGGGGCUUAACCCCAGAAAGGCAGUGGAAACUGAAGUGCUAGAGUGCAGUAGGGGUAGAGGGAAUUCCCGGUGUAGCGGUGAAAUGCGUAGAGAUCGGGAAGAACAUCGGUGGCGAAAGNNCUCUGCUGGACUGCAACUGACACUCAGGGACGAAAGCUAGGGGAGCGAAUGGGAUUAGAUACCCUAGUAGUCC